AUGGACCCCAAAGAGACCACCCUCCUGUGUCUUGUGCUCUGUCUGGGCCAGAGGAUUCAGGCACAGGAAGGGAGGUAUAUUAGCAAGCAUUUUUGGUGUUGAAGUUUGGGCUGCAAUCCAGUAAAUGAUGCUUAAGCAUAACGGCCAGGGGACUUUCCCAUGCCUUUCAUAUCUGCCAAAUCAAGUCCUGUGAUUCCCUUGGAUGGAUCUGUGAAAAUCCAGUGCCAGGCCAUUCGUGAAGCUUACCUGACCCAGCUGAUGAUCCUAAAAAACUCCACGUACCGAGAGAUAGACAGAAAACUGAAGUUUUGGAAUAAGACUGAUCCUGAGUUCAUCAUUAACCACAUGGACACAAACAAGGCAGGGCGCUAUCGGUGCCAAUAUAGGAUAGGGCAAUACAUGUUCCGGUACAGUGACACCCUGGAGCUGGUAGUGACAGACUCCAUAAACCAAGAUUACACGAUGCAGAACUUGAUCCGCAUGGCCGUGGCAGGACUGGUCCUCGUGGCUCUCUUGGCCAUACUAGUUGAAAAUUGGCACAGCCAUAAGGCGCUGAACAAGGAAGCCUCGGCAGAUGUGGCUGAACCGAGCUGGAGCCAACAGAUGUGUCAGCCAGGAUUGACCUUUGCACGAACACCAAGUGUCUGCAAGUAA
rnacentral:sRNA from 1 species